ensembl:lncRNA
AUAUAUAUAUACAUAUAGCUAAAAUAUAAGGUAAUAAAUUAUAAUGUAACUAAAUAAAACAGGCAGACCAGACCUACUGCUCCCUCCUGGAACACCUCUGGAGAUAAAAGCAGAACCGCUGGAUAAAUCCCCGCAGGCCGCACAGGGCUCCCACCCCGGGAAGCACCCGCAGGAACCGCGGCAGGGCCCGGCACGGCCUCCGCUGCCACACGCGGGAGCUCCGCGCACCGGCUGCCCCCGCCCCGCGCAGCGCUUACGGCGCUCAGGAGCCCCGGGACAGAGGAGGACGGAGGGGGACGGAGAAGGACGGAAGGGGACGGAGGGGGACAGAGGAGGACGGAGCGGGACCGCGGGCGCUGCCCAGGCCCGGCCUUCCGCUACCGCCGCUGCUCCCCGCGUGCGCUGCUGGGCGCCGCCAUUGCCGCGUGACGUCACCCGCCGCGUGACGUCAGAGCGCGGCGCCGGCCGGGUGUGGGAGGGCGCGCGUGGCAAAUCCCGCGGGGAAUGCGAGAGAGGCCUGUGGAAUGGGAACCCGGCACUGGCUUUUUGGAGAGAAGUUGCAAAUAGCUACAGAAAAGGAGCAAACAUCACCGAGGUAUGGGUGCCACUUUCUCAGGUGCUCUGCAGUUGUCUUCAUCAAGGAAGGAUUAUUUGAAAUCAGCCUGGUACUGUCUUUUCAAGGUUACACAGCUCCUGUGUUAAAAUGAAGGUUCCAAUUCAGUCUGGAUUUCACUAAAGCAGCACGAAAUAGCUCUUGAUUCUAAUACAAUAGCUAUGACAAGGUUAGAGGGAAGCUGAGGGUAGAGCUUUAUUUGAGAGAAGAGAGGAGUGGAAGAGGGAGGAGCUGAAAGCAGCAGCAGCAGAAAGAAGUCAUACGUGACUUUAAUCACAGAUGAGAAUGAGAGACCACUUGCCUGCAGGUUUACUGUCGGAGGGGCGGUUUGGCAAAAAAUAUGCAAGCUUUAUUUUUUCUGUCAAAUGUAUGGGUCAAAAUGAGAUAUGUUUACAUUUAAUUCCUUCUGUGUUCUUUAUUCUGUGUUUCAGUACUAUAUUUCUUGAAAUAAAGAUUUUAUUAAUUCUACUUUUCACAUUUCCAGGACAUUUGUAAAGCUCUUUGAUAUAUCUACAGAUUUUAAAGUUGAUGGGAAUCAUGUCUGCUCAGUGUUUCCUGGACUGAGUUAGAAGGACAGGUUUUUAAAGGCAAUAAGGAAGAGAUGUUUUUCUAAAUGUUUACACAUUUAUAAAAAACUCUUUUCCUUAGUGACUUACAAUGUUUAUGUAAAAUAUAACAUGAGAAAUCAGCCUAAUUGCGUAUCUGAACCCAAUAUUUUACAGUCUUUAAAACUGAAUUCUGGAAUUCCUUGUUUGAAAACUGCAUUGAGUUCCCAGUUCAAGGCAUGCAAAAGAAAAUACUUUUGAUCUCAGAAAUCUCUAAGAUGAGAAGUACUUGCAAGAUGACAUAACCACAGAUUGGCUGUUAAAGAAGUUGCUAGAGGAUUCUCCUAACUAACUGUGUGUGGGAUUUCAGUAUGUUUGCCUAAUACUUACCAUUGGCAGAAGCCUGCAUGCCAGGAUUCUAAAUUUGAGGAGGGAACAUUGUCUAAAACUUUGUUUCCUCUCAUAGACCUAAUUCCUUACCUACUCUGAGAGGACUUAGGUUCAGUUACAGGUGUUUAUUGUAUUUGCUGUCUAGUGAUGCUCCUUGUUAAAAAUCUUUUGCAAAGGAGAUUUUCAAAAAAGUGUUUCUCAUGUUAAUCAUCAUGCCUUGAAAAUUCCAAAUGGUGUUAGUUUUCUAUUACAUAACAUUUUAAUUAUUUAUAUGUAUAUUGGAUUAGAUUUUUCUGCUAAUAAUUCUGUUGUACAUUGGAAAUUAAUGCAGAUGCUUUAAUUUUUUAAUGUUUUACUGAUUUAUCCAAGCACACAAUUUGGCCUAUCUGGUAGACAGAGAAGUAACACAGUAACACAUAGGGGACAAUGUUUAGUUUUUGCUAGACAAAAGCUGAGGUGCUUGCCAGUCAUAGAAUAAAAAUUAAUAUAAUUCUGGGCAAUAUAUUACAUAGUAUCAUAUAAUCUUCAGGAUUUCUGGAAUUACUUUUUAAUCUUUUAUCAACAAAGCUUACUCAGUCACAUGGGCAUUUCACAAGGAUAAAAAAAAUCACACCAUCUCAAAUUAGCCCUUGUAAAGUACUGACAGGUUUUUUAAUUCCUGGUCUGAGUGUGAUUGUUGUGUUCAUAUAACCAUUGCAAAGGCCACUGAAUUACUUACAUCCGUAAAUGCUGAGCCUAACUGUGUGUGAUGGUUCUUGUAUGCAUUUUGCAUCACUAACCCUCUAAGUUUUUAAAGAUUAUUCAUGUUUAUUUGUAUAUGAAUGAGGUAAUUAGCAUACAUAUAUUUUGAAGAAAAAUACUGUCCCUUCAACCCCCAAGGCAAUCCAUAUUUGUGAGCCAAAAUGGUAAAGGCAUCCAAGGCCUAAUUACAUAUCAGGAAAACUCUCUGUAUGGAAAUCCGUGCUGCUGUAUGAGUGGUGUGUAACCUGGGUUACUCACCGCAAAAAGUGUGAAUGCAAAAGGUGAAGAAUAAGAAUUUAUGAAGAGUGUAAGUGAUGUCUUCGUCAGAGUUUCACAAAGAAGUAAUUUUUUUAAGAAACAUUAGUAUAAAAGUUCAUUGGGGGAGGAACCUGCUUUGGACUUUUCAAUAAAACAGCACUUGUUACCAAUGUCUCCGGCGCAGUUCUGCUUUGGCACAGCUGUGAGACGGGCGGCCCCGGUGGGGGUCCCAGCGCCGCUGCCGAGGAACGCGGCGCCCCACGGGGGAAGGCGGAGGAGCGGCGGACGCGGUGCUGCAGCUGUGCUGGGGGAGCCCCCGGGGCUGCGGACACGGCCGGGGCGCCGCGCGGGGCCCGCCGCGGGCCGGGGAGCGGGAUCG